CAAUAGCGUAUAUUUAAGUUGUUGCGGUUAAAAAGCUCGUAGUUGGAUUUCGGGUGGGCACCGCCGGUCUCCUUCGGGCUGUACUGGCGUGGCGCACCUUGCUGUCGGGGACGGUUGGCUGGCUUCACUGUCGGCCUUCCGGAAUCGGCGACGUUACUUUGAGUAAAUUAGAGUGUUCAAAGCAAGCCUACGCUCUGAAUAUGAUAGCAUGGGAUAACACGACAGGACUCUGGCCUAUCGUGUUGGUCUGUAGGACCAGAGUAAUGAUUAAGAGGGACAGUCGGGGGCAUUCGUAUUCCGUUGUCAGAGGUGAAAUUCUUGGAUUUAUGAAAGACGAACUUCUGCGAAAGCAUUUGUCAAGGAUGUUUUCAUUAA
rnacentral:rRNA from 1 species